UUCAACGAAGCACAUGUGGUGUGAUGUAAGGGAAAUACCAUGACUGAAUUUAGUUGAACCCUAUUAACAAUAUUCACUGUGAUGCUUGACACUGUAGUUCCCGUAAGGAUGUCAAGCAUCACAUGAAUAUUGUUAGAGGGGUUUAACUAAAUUCAGUUCUAGUAUUUCCCUCACAUCAUACCAUAUUUGCUUCAUUGA
rnacentral:pre_miRNA from 1 species